rnacentral:rRNA from 1 species
UACGUAGGGUGCAAGCGUUAAUCGGAAUUACUGGGCGUAAAGCGUGCGCAGGCGGUGAUGUAAGACAGAUGUGAAAUCCCCGGGCUCAACCUGGGAACUGCAUUUGUGACUGCAUCGCUGGAGUACGGCAGAGGGGGAUGGAAUUCCGCGUGUAGCAGUGAAAUGCGUAGAUAUCGUAAGGAAGACCAGUGGCGAAGGCGGGUCUCUGGACAGUUCCUGACACUGAGACACGAAGGCCAGGGGAGCAAACGGG